AGUGGCGGACGGGUGAGUAAUGCAUGAGCAACCUGCCUUUCAGAGAGGAAUAACACAGAGAAAUUUGUGCUAAUACCGCAUAACAUAUGUUUGUCGCAUGGCAGACAUAUCAAAGGAGCAAUCCGCUGAAAGAUGGGCUCAUGUCUGAUUAGAUAGUUGGUAGGGUAACGGCCUACCAAGUCUGCGAUCAGUAGCCGGACUGAGAGGUUGAACGGCCACAUUGGAACUGAGAUACGGUCCAGACUCCUACGGGAGGCAGCAGUGGGGAAUAUUGGGCAAUGGGCGAAAGCCUGACCCAGCGACGCCGCGUGAAGGAAGAAGGCCUUCGGGUUGUAAACUUCUUUUACCAGGGACGAAGAAAUGACGGUACCUGGCGAAUAAGCUCCGGCUAACUACGUGCCAGCAGCCGCGGUAAUACGUAGGGAGCAAGCGUUGUCCGGAUUUACUGGGUGUAAAGGGCGCGUAGGCGGGACGGCAAGUCAGAUGUGAAAUCUCGGGGCUCAACCCCGAAACUGCAUUUGAAACUGUCGUUCUUGAGUACUGGAGAGGUUGACGGAAUUCCUAGUGUAGCGGUGAAAUGCGUAGAUAUUAGGAGGAACACCAGUGGCGAAGGCGGUCAACUGGACAGUAACUGACGCUGAGGCGCGAAAGCGUGGGGAGCAAACAGGAUUAGAUACCCUGGUAGUCCACGCUGUAAACGAUGAAUACUAGGUGUGGGGGGACUGACCCCUUCCGUGCCGCAGUUAACACAAUAAGUAUUCCACCUGGGGAGUACGGCCGCAAGGUUGAAACUCAAAGGAAUUGACGGGGGCCCGCACAAGCAGUGGAUUAUGUGGUUUAAUUCGAAGCAACGCGAAGAACCUUACCAAGGUUUGACAUCCCGGUGACCGCCAUAGAGAUAUGGUUUUCUCUUCGGAGACACCGGUGACAGGUGGUGCAUGGUUGUCGUCAGCUCGUGUCGUGAGAUGUUGGGUUAAGUCCCGCAACGAGCGCAACCCUUAUUGAUAGUUGCUACGCAAGAGCACUCUAUCGAGACUGCCGUUGACAAAACGGAGGAAGGUGGGGACGACGUCAAAUCAUCAUGCCCCUUAUAUCUUGGGCUACACACGUAAUACAAUGGCACUUAACAAAAGGAAGCGAAACCGCGAGGUGGAGCAAAUCCCCAAAAAGUGUCCCAGUUCGGACUGCAGUCUGCAACUCGACUGCACGAAGUCGGAAUUGCUAGUAAAGGCGUAUCAGCAACGACGCCUUGAAUACGUUCCCGGGCCUUGCACACACCGCCCGUCA
rnacentral:rRNA from 1 species